rnacentral:lncRNA from 1 species
CGCCGAUGUCGUUGAGGGAAACAGCGCAGCGGGGCCAGCUCAGGCGCAGCUGCCGUUCCCGGCGGGCGAGGGGCGCAGAGGGCGGCGGCGGCGGCGGCGGCGGCGGCGGCCGAGGAGACCGGGCCGGGCCCGGCGCGCGGCGAGGUGCCAGAGUUUGCAGCCUGUUGGGGAAAACCAACAUCAAGGACCAGUGCUUUGAAUGGACUACAGCCCAAUGGGUCUGUCCCAGUGCUGCUCCUUUACUGAGACAGCACUGCGGAGUGCCACCCUGCUUGCUAUGCACAGCUGCUCUGUGGAUUGAAGAUGAAGAUUCGGUGGAGUGAAGGACUGGAGGACUCCUGUGACAUUUUACUGCAGGCAGGGAAGGUGAGUAGUGUGGGAAAAAGGAAUGGCAGAAACCACGGCCAAGAUCUGUCUGGACUUCAGGGGACUCGUGCACAUGAGCUUGGCAUUCUCUCAGGGUAUAGAUCUUGUUUUAUUUUUCCUCAUUUCCCAGAUCUGAUGCAGGCUUUGCCUGACAGUUAACAAACGGUGUCAAGUGGGUGUGCAGUGUGUGCUGUAGGAAAUAAGGGCUCACUAGGACCCUGCUGGACAGGCCUCCCACCGGCUCCCACUUCUCUGGAGGGCCUAGCAGACAGCCACCAGCAGGAGCAGCCUCUCAGGACGCCCAGAGCUGCUGCCUGCCAGCCCUUCGCACACGAGCCCUGCUGACAGGGCUCAGACAGGGUUCCUUUCUCCUCUCCAAGCUGAACGUGGCCAGUCCACAGUUCCUUAACAUACUGACUGUCCCUCCAGUCUGGAGAGGCACAGAAGGAUCCAGGUGUCGUCUGGACAGGCAGAGCAUGGAUGAGGAUUGAAGAUUUAGGUCUGCAUGCUUCCUUCGGCCGUCAGUGUGGCUUCCAGUGCUGCAGGAAGGCUCAGGGUUGCUGCCCGUUGUCUUUCUUGCUUUGGUGUUCUCGUGGCCUUUAUGUAGGUAUAUUGUGCUAUAAAACCUCAUGUUGUAGGGCUGGGGACUUAGCUCAGUGGUUCUGCCUCUUACCUUGUAAGUGCAAGGUCCUGAGUUCAAUCCCCAAUACCAAAAAACCCCCCCAAAAACCAAACCUCAUGUUGUAGUUCUUGUGAGCAGAGUAGUUUUCCCUCCACAAUCCUGGAAACUCCCCGAAGGCAGCUGGCUGGUGGUGGGCACUCCAUUAAAUGUUAGCUAGUACUAUUUGCUUUGUUAUUUUCUCAUUGCAAUGGAUGACGUUCAUAUCAUUUAAUGAGCAUGUGCUGUGUGCCAAAAACUGCUCGAUGCUGGAAUGCAGCCCUACCUGCGGAGCUCCCAGGCACUUGGGAAGACUGGUUGAUUGGAUGAUGAAUCCUGGUUGUAGUCCCUGUGAUGAACACCUCUGCUGUCAGACAUCACUGGCUGCCUUCUGUGUGCUCAACUUAGAACGCAUCCUUCCUGUCCUGGAAUAUAAGUGGCUGAAGAAGACACCCCUAUGGGAGAAAAUUCCCUGGACUUUUUAGUGAACUGGCUAGGAGUCGAGUCCUAGCUCUGCUGCAAACCCACUUUGUGCCCAUGGGUGAGUUACUUGACCUCUCUGAGUUUCAGUUAUCUUAUCGAUGGGGUGAAAUGGGGUGAACAAUUAUCCCUCAGAGGCACAAGAGGAUCAAACCAGGUCACCACACUGCAGAAGUCCAUGGCUGCCGUUCACAGUUUAGCCUUUCCAGCCUCUGGUGACUGGGACUCAGGGUGAGCACUCUUUCACCUGCAACCUGAAGUUAAGAGUCAGUAAAAGCAGCUAUUGUUACACAGAAGUUAGGGGGAAGCAGGGGUCAGGGCAGGGCAGUAGGCUGGCCAGGCUUGGCCAGGCUUUGUUCUUCAAGGAAGGGCAGGGCUCUGAGAAGUGUGGACUGUAGUCAGGCGAAGGCCAGGCAGCAAGGACCUCGAGGCAUGUCUAGGAGAAGCGGCUGGGGAGUGAGGGCUCAGCAAGCUGCACAGGGAGUGGGCCCUUCUCUCUAGGAGCAGCCUGGUUAGGACCAAGGUGAGUGCUUCAGGCACCAAGUUGAGAAGAUCCAGACAGCGUCUCGACCAGCACCUUGUCUUCUCAGGCAGACAAGCUGGGAAGUUGUGAGUCUCCAAGGCCACAAGCCCAGGCCCGAGGCCAGAGCCCGGACUCCUGCCUGUGCAGAGGCAAGUCCAAGUCCAGACAGCUCCUCCAGCCUAGUUCAUGGCACUGCAGCAGGGAGCCCUGACUCUUCUCCUAUGUAUAGCUAUAAUUUUUUUCUGAUUGUAAAAGGAAUUUUUAUUUUUUUAUUUAUUAUUUAUUUUUGUUGUUGAGACAGCAUCUUGCUCUGCAGUCCAGGCUGGCCUUGAACUCAAUACUCACUAUGUAGCUGUGGGUGGCCUCAAACUCAUGGCAAUCCUCCUGCCUCAUCCUCCUGAGUGCUGGGAUUACAAGCAUGUGCUACCACAGCCAGUUUGUAAAGGAAUUAUAAAUCACUGUAAUUAUAGGGCUUUUUUUUUUUUUUUUGAGACACGGUUUCACUGUAUAGUUAAGACUGGCCUUGAACUGAUUAUGUAGCCCAGGCUGUCCUCGAACUCAUGGCAAUCCCCCUGCUUCAGCCUCGCAAGUGCUGGGAUUAUAGGUGUGCACCACCAAGCCCUGAAUUGUUUUUUGUUUUUUUGAGACAGAGUCUCAACUAUGGAAGUUCAGGCUGGCCUUGAACUCACUAUGUGGCCCAGGCUGGCCUUGAACUCAUGGUGAUCCUCCUGCUUCAGCCUCCUGAGUGCUGAGAUUACAGACAUGAGCCACUAUGUCUGGCUUGGGCUUUUAAACUAUAGAAAUAUAAAGAAGAAAAUAUAGUCACUUAUAACCCACUAUCCAGGGACCAUGAGUAUUACAGUGUAAUUCCUUUCUCUACAUAUUACACAUAAAACUAUAUAUUAUAUAUUCAUUAGAUUAGAGUUGUAUGUAGUUUCAUGUUCCACCUUUUCCAUAUAAAAUUGUGUGUUUUCUGGGAAGGAAGGACUGUUUUUAAUGCAGACGGAACUCUAGAAAACAUUUUCCUUAAAAACAAAAAAAUAGCGAGCCCAUUCUUCAGCGGCCGGAGGAUAUCCUGUGGAGCAGUGCAGCGCCCGGCCUCCCAUCCUGUGUGAACUGCAAGGCAGCGGCUGUGGCCCUGAGGCCCUCUUCUCUCCCAGGCCAGGCUGCGCCUCCUGCUCACAGUUCUACUUUUCCUAAGCCAAACUGGAGGCCAGGGCACCGAGAACGUCGAGAUGGCAUAUUUCCAGAGUGUGGAGGAGACAGACUGUACCGCAGGAGCCUGGAGCCAGGCCCCAAAGGUUCUGCUGGCUGUCCCAGGGGCCUGCCCUUACGACAGCCCACCCGGGACAUCUCGGAGCUUGUAUCUCUGCUCAUCAGAAGUUGGAGGAGUGGGUUCGAGGGGGCAGCUGUUUCCUAUAAAAAUGUCCAGUAGAGGUAAUGUCCUUGGGACAAACUCUUUUUUUUUCUAUACUGGGGAUGGAACAUACAGCCUUCACUCUGAACUGUAUCCUCAGCUCCCUUUAAAAAAAAAAAUUAUUUUGAGAAAGGGUUUUGAUAAGUGCUAAAUUGCCCAGGGUGGGCUCCAACUUGCAGUGCUGGCCUCCCAAAGUACAGGGAUUACUGCUGGACACGAUGCCCGGUUGGUCAUCCUUUUUUUUGGGGGGGAGGGUACCGGGGAUUGUACUCCAGACCUUGUGCUUUCGAGGCAGGCGCCGGAACCACUGAGCUAAAUCCCCGGCCCUGGUUGGUCAUCCUUUUUGACACCCAAGCUAAGGAGGCUCAUUCUGUGCCUGAGGCUCCAGUGUCUCGCAUUCUGCCCGCUGGAAUACGGUCUCUCAGAGGGGCUGUGGAGCCUCGUGUGGUCGACUCCAACCAAGGUGCAGGCAUUUGGGGAGCGUCGUCCCCAGGUAAUUCCUGUGUGUCCAUUUCCUGUUACUGAGACAAAUUACUAUAAACUUGGUGUCUUAGAAAAACACACAUCUAUUUUCUUAAAGUUCUGAGGGCCAGAAAUCCAAAAUAAGUCUCAGUGGGCUAAACUCAAGGUGUCAGCGGGAAUGUGUUAAUCUCCACCGAGGCUCUGUGCCUGUCCCAGGGUCAAGAGGCUCCACGCGUUCUGCCCUGUGGCUCCUUCCUCUGACUUCAAGUCCAGCAGUGGCUGGUCAGGACUUCCACAUAAUGCCAUCUCUCAGAUUCUACCUCUCCUGCCUCCCUCUUCCCUGUUUAAGGAGCCCAGUGAUUACAUUGGGCCCCCCAGACAAUUUCUCUGUUUCCCACUUCCAGCAACCUUAAUUCUCCAUUGCCACGUAUCAUGGCGCAUCCACAGGUCCCACCCACUUGGACGUGGACAUCUUUAUUCCACCAUGGACCGUUAUUUUGCACACCCAGCCAACCUCUCCUGUGGCUUUUCCAAGGGUCUCAUCCUCAGGCAUAGACAGUGGGCUGGGCCAGACCAGUCGGGAUGUGCCCACCACUGGCAGAGAGGUCCUUUCUGCCCAGACACCCUCCCUGCUUUAGCUCACCUCCUCUUCUCUCAUCCUCUGCUCCCCCUCUGGCGUAGAGGGAAGCUGGUGAGGCUAGAUGCGCCGCGGGAGCCCAGGGAGCUGAGCCCUCCCCGGCCAGACAGCCUGUCUUCCAGGGGCUGGAGCCAGAGCCCAGCCUUUGCGGUCGCGGACUCACAGUCUGAGGGCAGUUGCAGGGUCGGAGGGGCAGGCAGGCACAUAUCGGAGACACACGUAUCCCCUGUGCCUCUCGGCCUCCCUUCCUCAGGUGACAACAGCCUGUCUACCCUCCGGCACUCGGUGGUCCUUUUUGGGGCUGGGACCUUGAGAGGCUCCCAAGGAGGGGAGGCCCCCAUCAAAUCUGUCCCUGGGUACUGGUGAGGACCUGGGGGAUCCAGGACCCCAGCAAGAGGUCUCAUCAGCACAGCAGAGCAAAGCAGGAGGAGCUGGACAGGGCCUUCGGUCUUCAAGUAUGGUGACCAGUUGGGCUUGGUUUGCCUAAGACUUUCCCACUUUGAGCAGUGGGGGUCCAAGCCCUGGAACUCGGUCAGAGCAAACCGAGACAGCUGGUCACCCUGUCUCCAGGGCCUUUAUCACAUUCUCUUCCGCUCUGGGUCAUCUCCGCUGCUACACAGCCAGCUCUUUGGACUCCUGGAUACUAGAAAGACCUGGGGGCUGAGGAAGGACCCCAGGCCCACGCCAGAAAGGAGCAGGCUCUUGCCCCAGCAAGCCCGGCAGAGGAGCCAUCAACAGUGAAGACCAAGCUGGUGUCUGCGGGGCACAGAGCUCCCAGGAGCAGUGUGCGUAAGACGGUGAAAAGGAAACCUCUAAACACUUAGCAGCCUGGUCACUUCUGAGUGGUGGAUUGCAGGUGGCUUUCAUAAAUACUUUGAGUUCCCCCUCUGUAUUUCUUCCUCUCUGUACAAGUAAGCCAUGUUCUUUCUGUAUGUUUUUAAUAAAAGAAAGCCAGUGGUGACUCAGCCAUCCAUCUCCAGUCCUGCUGAGGGACACGAGCAGUUGUGCUGGCACCUGUGACCUUGGCUGUGGGCUGGUCAUGGCCCCAUUCUGCCCGAAGCUCUACUGCAAGGGCAGGGAAGCUACUCCUCCGUGUCCUUCGGCCCCACAGUGCACCCAGGGUCCAGCCUGGCUUGUUCCCUGAGUGAAGACUCAAAAGCCUGAUGUGCUCUCUCUUGGCAGAGCAGGGGUGCAGGUGCUGAGGACACACAGGAUGUGGCUGGCCAUUGGGAGAUGCUCUUGAGCACCACUCUGGACUGAGAAUGAUGGGGAGAGGAGCUCUUGCCUCCAGGCAGCUGGCACCUGGUUGGAGAGCUCGGGUUACCCCACAGACCAUGUGGCGCAUGGUGGACUGGAUGAGGCCUUGCCUGUGAGGAUUGUCCGAGGUCGCAUAGGGGAGACCCAGGAGCCUCACUGCACUUGUCUUAGAAUGGCCAGAGGCCAAAACAGGUUUUCUUGAGUGACCUGAGGCAGCCCCCCAAGCUCGGGGUAAAUGGUCUCCCCCUCCCAGAACUCGCUGCUGGACACUUUGUGACAGAAGAGUGGCAAGAACAGUCAGCAAGAUGUUCCACUCUUAGACAGCUGGGCACCCUUGGGCCCUCCUCCUUGCCCUCUCCCCUCGUAUUCUUUGGGAGUGCCAGGCUCUAGACUUCCUCUGGCUGCCUCCGUCUGGUCUCCUGAUACCAAGCAGUUCUCUCCACCCCAAGCCCAGCAAGAGCACUUGGAAGGGAGCCCUGGGUCUCCAGUAGAGGCAGCCACCCCUCCACCUCCUACAUACAGGGCCAGCAUUCCCCACCCUAGUCCACCCUAGUCCACCAUUGUCCUGGUGAGGCCAACAUGUGACCUUGUUCAUUGUUUUGGAAAAGUAGUAAGUGUUCUGGCCUAAUGAUCCCUCCCUAUUGAACCCAGAACCCAAGCACAACUCCAUGUUCACACAACUCCCUUGACCCAGGAAGUCAGCUUUCUCAGAGAAGCCUGGCAUGUGCUUCCCCCUCCUUGCCACACCCUCGCCCCUAAGCCAAGAUCCUGCUCUAUCCCUUCUCCCUAAGCAAAGCUGCAGCUGAGUGUUUUUACUACUUUCUUUUUUUUUUUUGGUGCUGGGGAUCGAACUUGGGUCCUUGCGCUUGCACAGCAAGUGGCAAAACCACUGAGUUAAAUCCCCAGCCCCUAAACUGAGUGUUUUUAAGUGCUAGGGAAGACCUUGCUAGUCCUGCCUCAAUUCUGGGCAGAUUUGGGAAUCUGAACGUGUGAGGGAAAAGUGAUAGCAGAAUUGGACACUCCCCACAUCCAUGUGGUUUUUAAGGGAAAGAGGACAGUAGGAACGGAGACAGGGAUUCAGGCCAGUUCAGGAUUCGGCCACACAAAGUAGUGAGGGCCCCAACCUGGCGACCUCUUGGCUGGCUAUGGAGGCUGGGCAGGCCUCCCCUGAAGGGAAGGUAGUAGUGAGCUCUGGUGUCUACCUGGUGUGGCAACUAGCAUCUGCCUUGGGUGCUGCAGUUUCUCAGGAAUUAGACCCACUAGAGGCACAGGGCCUGAGCCCGGCCCAAGGCUAGGAGUUAGGAUGCACCUCUGAGUGGUCCAGACCUCUGAGGGACCCCAGAGGCCAAAACCGUCUGGCCUAGGGCAGAAGAGCUGGCUUCGCAGACAGAAUUGUGUCUAAAAAGUCCCCUUUGACCCCUAGAGCUGAGACCUACCAGGCCAGAGUCCCCUAGAGAAAACGGACUGUGUAGCUAAGCUGCUCCCUGCUCUGAGGCCAAGUAUCAAGCCUGUCAGGUCACAGCCCUGGCCUUGGCCUUCAGAACUGCAUGCAGGUGGCCUCCCGGGUAGAGGUGGGGAAUCACUUCUCUUGGGGCCCAAGCCAAACUCCACCACACUGGGGCCCUGGGGCCUGUGGCGGCAGAGCCAUAUUGUCUGAAGUACCAGGAGGGGCCAGGGGCGCUGAUGCCAAGGCGACACAGCAGCUGAACCUUUGCUGUCUUCCGUCAAGGUCUCCAGAUGCCUUCUUGUCAUAGGUUCCUAGUGCCCUGUCCCUUGCCGGCACUCCCCAAAUUCCCCCCCCAGGCUUCAGUUUCUUCCUUUGUAGGCAGCCUGAUCUUGUAGAACCCACCUGUGUUCUGGGCAUGGACAGGUGUGGGUUGGAAUCCAGCUGAGUCACCCGUCGUGGGCAAGCCCCUUGUGCGUGCUGAGCAUGGUUUCCUGGUCUGUGAAUGAGGCUGGGGGUGGGGAGCUGUGCCUGAGUGACAGUGCAAAGGGGAGCUUGGCACAGUCCCUGGUCCCAAGGGAACACUCGGGUCUGUUUCAGUAUCCAAGCAGAUCUGAGGUCUGCUCUAGUUCUGCUCCUUUCCAAGCUGCAGACUGCACUGAGCCCGCAGAAGUGGGGGCUUCUUCUGCAACUGCCCCCCCACCACCAGAAAAGCAGCAGAAAUGGACCUUUGGGAGCCGCCUGGAGCCAGGAAAACCACAGCCAACCAGCUAGGUCUUCCUCAGACUCGACCCCACAAGGGAGCUCUGGCCGGCGAAGCCGCCUUCCACCCUGCCACGUACCUUCACCUCUGGAAAAGGAGCACACCAGCGCCCCAGGCUCUGGUUUCUGUAAGAGCUGGUGAAAGUGGGGAGAGACCAGUGCUGAGUUCAGAUGGAUUUUACACAUCUUCCGUGUGGAGAGUGAGUGGUUGCCUCAGUUAAGACACAGCAUCACGUAGGUCAGACGAAAGUUCCUUGUUGGAUGCUUCAGCAGGGCUGUGUGGAGGAAACUCCGACCCCAUGCAAGAGUGGAGUUUUGGGUCUGGGCCAACAGUGAGAAAGACGGCCCACUGGUCGCAGAGAAUGACAACUUGGGCAUGACCCAGCUCCAUGGACUAGGUGGCAUCACUCCCAGAGAAAAGGGCUCCACCUGCAACCAAGCUCAAGGCUUUUCCCAGGAUUUCAGCUGGGCCCUGGGCAUACCCCACUGGAGGCUUCCAGAGACCGGGAGCAAGCUCUUAUGUGUGGAGGCAGGGUGACCACAACACCCUAUACACGUGCAUGGAGAGAUGCUGAAAGCUGAUACUCUAAGAAGGGAUGAUUUUCACAUUAGCCUUCAGCUUUCAUCCUACUGCAAGUAGCUGAAUAAAUAAACCAACCCGAUUAAAGUAACACCUUUGGAAUAAAACAAGGAAACUCCUCUGGCUGAUGAGAAAUGCCCUCCAGUGUCUGUAAACUUGGUUCAUCAUGGGUGUGCCUGAGACUAGCUGGUGUACCUGAAAUCCCCCUUUGAUACUUUACCCCAUUGCAAAGUGGCCCUCAAUGACCAUAAUGUCACAGUAAUCCCAACAAAGCUCAUCUUUCAAUGACCUCCUAGCUCCUUCAACCAAGAACUUCCAUUCUGAGUGCUUAGAUUGAAAAUCUUGGGAAUUACCUACCCUUAGGAAGCACUGACAAGUCCUGAAUGAUCUUAAACUUUUAGGCCCAAAUUUGGUUCAGAUUAUACUGAGGCUGAUCCUUUCCAGACUCUGUUUGCUAAUGAGAUAGUCCCAGCUGCCAUCACCUUUAGGUCUGACUUCUAGGCCUGGGCCGAGGUUCACAGUGAGAUGUGAUGCGACAGCUCCCUAUCCUGUUAGGUCGGUCCCUAUCACACAUGCUCUUCCCUGGAGCCCAGCUGCCUUGCAAUUUUGGGUGCAGAGUUUUAGGUUCCUUCUCUGGACAUUCCAAU